GAUGAACGCUGGCGGCGUGCCUCAAACAUGCAAGUCGAGCGGGGCUAUGUAAUAUCGCAAGGUAGAACAUAGCCUAGCGGCGAACGGGUGAGUAACACGUGGGUAACCUGCCUGGAAGACAGGGAUAACGAUUCGAAAGGGUCGCUAAUACCUGAUAAUAUCCUUUCAUCGCAUGGUGAUAGGAAGAAAGGGGAAACCCGCUUUCAGAUGGGCCCGCGUCCCAUCAGCUAGUUGGUAAGGUAAAGGCUUACCAAGGCGACGACGGGUAGCCGGUCUGAGAGGAUGUACGGCCACACUGGGACUGAGAUACGGCCCAGACUCCUACGGGAGGCAGCAGUUGGGAAUCUUAGGCAAUGGACGAAAGUCUGACCUAGCGACGCCGCGUGAGGGAAGAGACCUUUCGGGGGUAAAGUUCUUUUCUGUGCGAGCAGGGGUGUAACAGUAAUAUGGUGAUCACCUUGAUAUUAGUACAGGAAUAAGCCACGGCUAACUCCGUGCCAGC
rnacentral:rRNA from 1 species